CUGCGCAGCCGGGGAGUUAGCGGUGCCCUGAACCUGCAAUCCGCUAUAGCAGGGGUGAUGCCAAUCUGAGGCUCGUCUUUUUGUGGAGCUGCCCUUUAUAAGUGGCGUUGACGUUUGGGUCUUACGCAAUAGGUCUCUGUGAACCGUGUCAGAUCAGGAAUGAAGCAGCACUAAGCAGAAUCGCCUGUGUGCCGUGAGGGUGCCUGGACUGAGUUAACUGUAGAGGUAACGUCCAUGGGAGCUUGUCGAAGUGCGGCGCGCAA
rfam:Blautia hydrogenotrophica CAG:147 genomic scaffold, scf423